CAAGUCGAACGGCAGCGCGGGGGCUUCGGUCUCUGGCGGCGAGUGGCGGACGGGUGAGUAAUAUAUGGGAACGCGCCCGGCGGCGGGGGAUAACUCUGGGAAACCAGAGCUAAUACCGCAUGCGUUUCGCCUUUCGGGGCGAAAGAAAGCGGGGGACUUCUUCGGAGGCCUCGCACCGGCGGAGCGGCCCAUAUCCGAUUAGCUUGUUGGCGGGGUAACAGCCCACCAAGGCCGCGAUCGGUAGCUGGUCUGAGAGGACGGACAGCCACACCGGGACUGAGACACGGCCCGGACUCCUACGGGAGGCAGCAGUGGGGAAUAUUGGACAAUGGGGGCAACCCUGAUCCAGCAAUGCCGCGUGUGUGAAGAAGGCCUUCGGGUUGUAAAGCACUUUCGCGGGGGAAGAAAAAGCGAGGGGUAAUAUCUCUCGCGCCUGACGGUACCCCGAGAAGAAGCACCGGCUAACUACGUGCCAGCAGCCGCGGUAAUACGUAGGGUGCGAGCGUUAAUCGGAAUUACUGGGCGUAAAGCGUGCGCAGGCGGCCUGUCAAGUCGGGUGUGAAAUCCCCGGGCUCAACCCGGGAAUUGCGCUUGAAACCGGCGGGCUAGAGUACGGCAGAGGAAGGUGGAAUUCCGUGUGUAGCGGUGAAAUGCGUAGAUAUACGGAAGAACACUCAUGG
rnacentral:rRNA from 1 species